CCUACGGGAGGCAGCAGUGGGGGAUAUUGGACAAUGGGGGGAACCCUGAUCCAGCGACGCCGCGUGAGUGAAGAAGUAUCUCGGUAUGUAAAGCUCUAUCAGCAGGGAAGAAGAAAUGACGGUACCUGAGUAAGAAGCCCCGGCUAACUACGUGCCAGCAGCCGCGGCAAUACGUGGGGGGCAAGGGUUAUCCGGAAUUACUGGGUGUAAAGGGAGUGUAGAGGGUGAUGUAAGGCUGGAGUGAAAGGCGGGGGGCCAACCCCCGGACUGCUCUUGAAACUAUGUGACUGGAGUGCAGGAGAGGUGAGCGGAAUGCGUGGUGUAGCGGUGAAAUGCGUAGAUAUUAGGAAGAACACCAGUGGCGAAGGCAGCUCACUGGACUGUAACUGACGUUGAGGCUCGAAAGCGUGGGGAGCAAACAGGAUUAGAUACCCGAGUAGUC
rnacentral:rRNA from 1 species